UGAAUCCUGUGACUCAGCUCAUUCCCUAGCAGAAUGCAAAGGGCAAAAUGUAAAACCAGCAGUAACCUAUGUCAGGGUCCCAGCUUCCUCUCCUGGUUCAGAUGUGGAGCCCG
rnacentral:lncRNA from 1 species